UGUCAAAGUAUGAGUAUACUGCCUGCUCAGUUGUGGAAUUUGCUCUACACUGACCAAGGGCUCUAGGUUUUACUACCUUUAUUUCAGGCCAACGUCGUCUGAAACCAUGAAACCACUUGAAUGACAAUGGGUUGUCAUGUGUUCGCUUCUUCAAGAACACUGCUGCACACUUACUUUACUGUGGUGUAACCUAUCGACAUAUGAUUUACUCAAUCGGGAAUCCUCGGACAAUUCCGCCAUAACGGCGAGACGGUGUGGUGUAGCCCACUGUCCGGUGCGUUCAGAUUGGUGAUUUACCAUGGUCACGUGACAAUUGAAGCAGACCAUAAUGUGGGUCAUCUGUCAAAAAGUUGUCGACGCUAUCCCCGACAAAUCAGAUAGUGCUCCAGAAUGGAUCCUGGAUGCGUAGAAAUUUUCAAUAAUCCACUGAUAAGGCUGAUUGGUUUGCUGGAAUCGUGCACAUGUCAAUCCAUCGUUUUAGAAACUUGAGGCCAUAUCGACCAUGGAUGGAGUGCAAACUACUACGACACCUAAAAAAUAAAAGAUUCAACAUAUCAGACCGGCCUUCUUUUUCGCACCACAUCGUGGAACAGCGAAUGACAAAAAGAGUCUGAUAACAGUCGUAAACAUGUCAAUGUACUCCGAAGAGAUUCAUAGCCUAAAAACAUCUUUUGCUGGACAUGAUUUUAUAUUGUUUGAUAAGCGAAGUUGAAAAGACUGUUCCUUUCCUUCCAAAGCUUAGUUUGUGUGGCUGCUCAGCAUAUUUGGUUUGAGGUGCUUACUCAUAUUCUUUCUUUGUUUGCUUACACAUGGUCACCUAUAUCACAAUCAUAUACUUUCUAACAAAUUUUAUUUUAAUAUAUAUGAUUAUGCAAAUUAUCUUGUCAAUAAGCAACCAUUUAAAACCAGAAUAUUAUUUAGGUCAUUCAAAAUUAGUUUUUUUAUUAUAUUACCAUCAAAUAAUUGUAUGGUUGUAACAAUAUAAAUGAAAUCUUAAUGUAAACAUUUAUAUGAUCGGUUGUCAGUAAUGUGUUUAAUGUGUAUUACCUUAAUUAUUUUUAAUUGUUUACAGUGGUUUUGCCUCCAUAUGAAUUAAAUUCUGUAUUUUGUUCCUUUAAGGGAGAAGAUGACAGUAUCUUUUUGAGACUUGAAGUGAUAUCUUGAUAAAUAAACAGUCAACAUAAAAAGUACAGAUUAAAAAGUGUCAUGGUCGGAGUAAUGUUCUUUUAACUCUUUUUCAUUGACAAGUCUUGACAAACCAGAAAACUGUUCUGUUUAGUAACCUGAUGAUGUUAGUGUUGCAGUGAAGAAAAAAUUCAAAGUUAAUAUUCAAUAAAAUUGUAAUCACAAAUUUUUACAAUUCAACAAAUCCGACAACAUUUCAUGUUUAUUACUUGGUGCAGUGGUGAUAAGAUCUUGCAGCCCUUUUCAUCACUGGGGCUGUUGAGUACUUUCAUUUAGUAUUUUCAGAUAUUCAGAUUUCAUAUGAAAUUUAGUUUAUUUUUAGUACAAUUUAAUAUGUUUGUUGGUAAAGUGAACCCCAAAGUCAAGAAAUUUUGAUGAUAAUAGUUUGUUAAGUGUCAAUUGGUGCUUUUAUAUAUUAGUAUAGCAAGAUUUGCAAAUUCAUACAAUGACAGACUUUGUAAAUACUGUACUUCUUUAUGAAGUUGAUACUGAUUUACUACUGUAAGAUUGUAUGCUUAUUAAAUUGUAAUGUAACUAUUAAUGUAGUGUUUAUUUAGAUAAACUAAAGAAACCCAUAUGGGUAUACAGGGCUUUGUUUCUCAUUCUUUAGCAAGGGCCUUAUAUAGGCCCCUUCCCCCAAGAGAAAGUCCCUUUCCCUAAGAAA